CUGUUUCUGAGUUCCCCACAGACCCAGUUAUCUAAUGUAAAUAUGGCCCUUGCCAGGCUAAUGUUUGCCCUGAGAGAAGACGGAUGAGGUGACCCGUGGCCAGAGGUGCCCAGAGGCUGUGCACACUGCGCUGAGCUGGGCAGAUGCCAAGCUGGACAUGGGGAGGGGGUGGGACCUCAGGGUGCAGCCAGAGAGGAGUGGGGGCUGGAGGGAGACGGGGCAGCUCCGGGGACUGGCUGUGAGACCCAGCACCCCCGCCUCCGCCGCCUCCGCCCCGCCCGAGGGGGCCGGGCUUUCCUGCUGGGCCUGCAGAGGGCCCUUCAGAAAGGCCCACGGAGGAGCCUGUCUCCUCAGGGGCCUGAGGCACAGACGGGGAGCCGUCGCCUUGGUCUGGAGGUGGCAGCAGUGUGAAGCCAGGAAGUGGGCAGGAGCCUCCGGAGGAGCUUAAUGGGCCGGGAUCUCUGCAGUCACAUCUACCGAGGAGCCCUGCCGGGCUCUGAGCUCCUGGAGGGGCCAGCAAGUCCUCUCAGUGUCCGGCGCGAGGCCUGGUGGGUACAGCUGCUCAGAUAACGUGGUUCAGCCCAGACGGCCUGGAAGUCUGAGAUGCUAGGAGUCUGAGAUGCGGAGGAGAGACACCCAGCAGCGGGAGGGGCCCGGCCUGGUGGGAGGGCCCUUUGUGACUCAGAGCUCCUGCCCUUCCUGUGGCCCCUAGGACCCUGCAAGAUGAAGUCUGCUUCAGGGCCCGGAAGGAACCCCCUGUCCCCGGCCGGGCCAAGGCCCCAGUGAGGCCUGGGAAACCAUGGGGCCUCAAGGACCUGGGCUGGGGGGAGGGACCAAUGUACAGAACGGGGUCUGGAGUUUGUCCCCCUCCAGGCCAGAGCUCCUGGAACGACAGCUCUGAGGCACAGGCCCUCCCUCCCUGGGCCCUGCCCCCCUCCCAGGGCCUCUCGUCCCAUCUUCCUGGCUCCACGCUCAGCUCUGUCCCCACUCCCACUGUGGUCCUCCCUUCCCCCGCCUCCUCCCUGGCUUCCCAUGGCGGGGGGGGGGGGGUCCACUGCCCUCUCCUCUUUCUCUCCUUUAGCCCUCUCCCCUCCUCAGGUGUCCCUGUGACUCCCAUUCAGGGUCCUCUGAUGUAGGACAGCCCCCCUCGCCUCCCAUCCUCCCUGCAGGCCCACAUGGGAUUAGGGGGAGCUGGGGGGGCCGUGCUGGUGUCAUGGAAAAUCCUUGCGGCAGCCAAGGUCAGUGUUUGCAGACACAGCCUGGCCUAGAGCCAGGCCUGCCUGCCUGGCCAGCUCCCUCUGGCCUAUCCCAGAGGCCGGUUUUGUUACAGGGGCCCUCAGAGGCACCCCAAGGCAGCUCUGGGUGCCUGGGGUUGGGGGGUCACAGGAGCCAUCCGUCCUGGUAUAUGGGAGACGAUGGGGUUCAACUCACUCAUUUUAUAGAUGGGUAAACUGAGGCCCAGAGAGGGGCAAGGACGGAGCCGGGACUGGAAUCCAGGGCGCUUGGAUCCAGCUCCGUCCUUGUUGCAGAGGGGAGCUUCCUCAAGUGUAUUCGGGUAGGACAGGAAGAGUGAAGGCUGAUAGGAGCUUCUGUUACAUCAAGGGCUAGUCUGAGAUUGGGCCAGACUGGAGGUGGGUCAUGGGGCCGGGGGAAGUAGGCCCAGAUGAUCAGACUAUAGCGCUUAAUGUCAAAACACUUUCUGUCUGAAAGUGCAUCAGAUGAAACAUCUCAGUGGAAGCAUUUUGAAAACCUCAGUGCUCUGUCCAAAGAAGAGGGUAUUAUUACACAAAUUAUUAAAAUGCAAGGCAAAGGCGGGCAAUGUUUUAGGAAGGAUUCAAGAUGGGAUGUGAGGACGGGCUAGUGAUGGACAACUUUGGUUUGCAGAUCAGGAAGGGCUUCACGGAGGAGGUGGCAUUUGCCCUGAGCUCUGAAAGAUGGAUGGGAAAUGUAGGGAAGCUGCUGAAACAAAGACACAAGGCUAGGGAGACGCGUGGCAUGCUAGGGGCAGAGAAAGUCAACCCGAGGCUGAUGGGCAUUUUUAUAAAUGGGGGGCCGGGCAAACUCUCAGGAAGGCAGCCGCGUGAACGCCUCAAGAACCUUGGAAAUGUGUCUGCUUGUGACCCUGCAAUGCCACUUCUAGGAAUCUCUCCUGGGAAAAUAACCAGAGAUCGGAACAAAGAUUUAUGAACAAGGAUGUUUAUAGCGGCGUUUUCAUUGUGAAAAAUUGCAAACAGUCUGAAUAUUUACCAAUCGGGUUUGGUUAAACAUA